rnacentral:tRNA from 1 species
CGGGGUGUGGCGCAGUUGGUAGCGUACCACGUUCGGGACGUGGGGGCCGGAGGUUCGAGUCCUCUCACCUCGA